UACGUAGGCAGCAAGCGUUGUUCGGAAUUAUUGGGCGUAAAGGGCGCGUAGGCGGAUGGCACAGUCAGAUGUGAAAUUCCCGGGCUUAACCUGGGGGCUGCAUUUGAUACGUGUGAUCUAGAGUGAGGAAGAGGGUCGUGGAAUUCCCAGUGUAGAGGUGAAAUUCGUAGAUAUUGGGAAGAACACCGGUGGCGAAGGCGGCGACCUGGUCCUUGACUGACGCUGAGGCGCGAAAGCGUGGGGAGCAAACAGG
rnacentral:rRNA from 1 species